UACGUAGGGGGCCAGCGUUGCUCGGAAUUACUGGGUGUAAAGGGUUCGUAGGCGGUGCGGCAAGUUGGGAGUGAAAUCUCUGGGCUCAACCCAGAGGCUGCUUCCAAAACUGCUGUGCUUGAGUGUGGGAGAGGCGCGUGGAAUUGCAGGUGUAGCGGUGAAAUGCGUAGAUAUCUGCAGGAACACCCGUGGCGAAAGCGGCGCGCUGGACCACAACUGACGCUGAGGAACGAAAGCUAGGGGAGCAAACAGG
rnacentral:rRNA from 1 species